AGGUCACUGCUAUCGGGGUUCGAUUAAGCCAUGCGAGUCGAGAGGGUUCGGCCCUCGGCGUACUGCUCAGUAACACGUGGAUAACCUGCCCUAGGGAAGGGGAUAACCCCGGGAAACUGGGGAUAAUACCCUAUAGAUUACAGAUGCUGGAAUGCCCUGUAAUCCAAAGUUCCGACGCCCUAGGAUGGAUCUGCGGCCGAUUAGGUUGUUGUUGGGGUAAUGGCCCAACAAGCCCGUAAUCGGUACGGGUUGUGGGAGCAAGAGCCCGGAGUUGGAUUCUGAGACACGAAUCCAGGCCCUACGGGGCGCAACAGGCGCGAAAACUUUACAAUGCGGGCAACCGUGAUAAGGGAACCUCGAGUGCCUGUAAAUGCAGGCCGUUCAGGUGCCUAAAACACACCUGAAGAAAGGGCCGGGCAAGACCGGUGCCAGCCGCCGCGGUAAUACCGGCGGCUCGAGUGGUGGCCGCUUUUAUUGGGCUUAAAGCGUUCGUAGCUGGGUUGUUAAGUCUCUUGGGAAAUCUGGCGGCUUAACCGUCAGGCGUCUAAGGGAUACUGGCAAUCUUGGAACCGGGAGAGGUGAGGGGUACUUCGGGGGUAGGAGUGAAAUCCUGUAAUCCUCGAGGGACCACCUGUGGCGAAAGCGCCUCACCAGAACGGCUUCGACAGUGAU
rnacentral:rRNA from 1 species